UAAUUCAAGGGAUGGUUGAUGACUGGC
rnacentral:sRNA from 1 species